rnacentral:rRNA from 1 species
UACGUAGGUGGCAAGCGUUGUCCGGAAUUAUUGGGCGUAAAGCGCGCGCAGGCGGUCCUUUAAGUCUGAUGUGAAAUCCCACGGCUCAACCGUGGAAGGUCAUUGGAAACUGGGGGACUUGAGUACAGAAGAGGAAAGCGGAAUUCCAAGUGUAGCGGUGAAAUGCGUAGAGAUUUGGAGGAACACCAGUGGCAAAGGCGGCUUUCUGGGCAGAUACUGACGCUGAGGUGCGAAAGCGUGGGGAGCAAACAGG